AGUGCUUAGCACUGUAGCAGCAUCGUCGACGCCGCUGGCUGCUGCAGCAUCCGGCGAGCGUCCACCUGGCGCCGCCGCCUUUCCCCUUUGCUCCGGUCCUUCCCCGUCAAGACCGCCGCCUAUUUCGUUUGCGCGCGCCGCCUCCUUCGUCCGCCACCUCCUCCGCUGCCUCUGCUCGCCCAUCCACCCUCAAGCACACGCGUGCGGCUCCUCCCACCUCCACCUACACUACGGCGCCUUCUGCGCGUGUGGUCGUCAUCACCGCAGCAACGCCACCCAUCGGCCGUCGUCGCUCACCGCAGCUGCGUGGUUCCACCCUCCUUUCCUCAUCAAGAUGGCGGUUGAUCGGGCUUGGAUGUACAGACAGCCCCGAGUUUGGGAGACAUUACUAAAUGGGGUCAAUGGUUUUCUAGCUCAAGCAGAGGCAGACAUGAGAAAUCGGAGUGUGCCUACAAUGCAUUGCCCCUGUGUUGAUUGUGUGAACCAGAAGAAGUUCGGACAAUGGGACAACAUUUUCCAUCAUUUGAUCACACGUGGAUUCAAAAAAAAUUACACAUGUUGGAAUAAGCAUGGUGAGGAAGGCCUUAUUGAAGGCGAUGAAGGAUGCUUUAAUGAAGGUGAAGCGCGAUGCCAUGCUCAAGGCCUUAAUGAAGGGGCAUGGCGACGCCAUGAUGAAGCCCUUAAUGAAGGGGAAGAAGAAUGCGGAAAUAACUUUGAGGAAGAUGAAGCAUUCCCGCCCAUUGUGAUGCGGCCUGAGGAUAUGACUGACCAAGAAGUUACGGGUUUCAAUGAUGAUGAUUUGCUGCCUUGUGUGAACAAUGUUGAGAGAUGUUGAGUUUCAAGGCGUGUACACAUCUUCUGAAUUAGCAAGGCUGAAACCCCUCUACCCUGGUUGUCACAAGUACUCUCGUCUUUCUGGUGAUCUCAAACUUUUGCAGCUUAAGGCACGUCAUGGUUGGACCGAUAAAAGUUCCAAACAACUAUUGGAUCUGCUAAAAGACAUGCUACAAGAGAGAAACCAAGUGGUCGGGUCUGUCUACGAGGCUAAGAAGAUAAUCUGCCUUUUGCACUUAGAUGUUGAGAGAAUCCAUGCAUGUAAGAACAACUGUGUGUUGUUCUGUGGAGAGUAUGAGGACCUUAACAAUUGCCCUAAGUGUGGGUUCGGUCGUUUCAAGAGGACAAAAGAUGGAGGAGAUAAUGCUGAUGACGGAAACGAGCCCGUGAAGAUCAGAGGCAAGAAGGGUAAUAGAGGGGGUCCUGUGAGGGUGGCAUGGUAUUUUUCCAUCAUUCCCCGCUUGAAACGCAUGUUUGCCACACGAAAGGAGGCCCAACUCUUGCGUUGGCAUAAGGAAGGCCGAAAGAAGACGGGCGAUGGCAAGCUUAGGCACCCCGCAGAUGCAGCACAGUGGGUAACAUAGAUACCCACUAUCCUUCGUUUGCCGAAUAUAUUUGCAAGAACAUUCGUUCCCUAUGAGCACAGACGGUGUGAACCCAUUCGAUAACCAGAGUUCAACGCAUAGCACCUGGCCUGUCGUGUUGUCAGUGUUGAACCUUCCACCCUGACUAUGCAAGAAAUGAAAAUACUUGAUGUUGUCAAUCUUGGUCUCCGGGCCAAAGCAACCCGGUGAUCGUAUUGAUGUCUACUUGAGGCCAUUGGUUGAUGACUUCCAGACACUUUGGAAGCCUGGUGUGGAGAUUUGGUAUGAGUUUUAGUGUAAGGACUUUACAUUGCAUGCCAUGUUGUUCACCACCAUCAAUGACAACCCGGCUCAUCGCAACCUUUCCAGGCAGAGUAAAAGGAAAGGUGAAGCUUGCCCCCACUGCUUAGAUGAAACCUUCUCAUUAUGGUUGAAAAAUUCAAAGAAAUUCGUAUUUUUGGGGCACCAUCAUUUCCUCCUUAAGAAAUAUCCAUACCGGAACAUGGAUUGUUAGUUUGAUGGGGAAAAGGAGAAUCGAACAGCGCCUCCACAUGUAUCCAGAAUGGAGGUCCAUUUACAAGUCAAAGGCAUCAAAACUAUCGAGGAGUUACCAAAGAAGACCAUCCUUGGCAAAAGAAAGAAGCGAGAUGGUGAAGAAGAAGAUGGGCACGGAAUGUGAAACAAGAAAUCAAUAUUAUGGGAGGUAGAAUAUUGGGAGUUGUUGAAUGUGCAUCAUUCUAUUGACAACAUGCACAUCAAGAAGAAUGUGUGUGAGAGCAUGUGUGGAACAUUGUGUGGCAGAACCAGUUUGAAUUAUACCAAUUCGAGUGCGCUAAACAUCUAAACGCACCUUAACCGGUAUAAUCAUUGGUCUGUCGGGUAACAUCCCGAUGUAACCACUGAAUAUCCGAUCGUAACACAAGUAUACAUCCCGCACGAAGGCAAGUCAAAGAUACAACAUUCCACAAUAUUUCACAUCACAUAGAUAAGGGGUGUAAUUUACAUCAAAGUUUAAAGCUAGUAAACAAAUUUUCUAGCUUUUACAAACUUAUUCAAAGGAACUUUAAAGAA